rnacentral:lncRNA from 1 species
GGGUGUAUGAAUGAAUUUUGUGUGAGAAAGCACGUGUGUGAGAUUUUGAGCUCUAGAGUUUUUAUUGAUGUAUGCAGUGUUCACAGGAAAACAUGGACGAUAUUGCCUUAAUCUUGAUGAUCGAUUGAAUUGCAUGUGAAUGUGAUAUGAUCAAGGCCAUUUUUGAAAACCCUUCUCUAGCCAAAUUUUCACCCAAAGUAC